rnacentral:rRNA from 1 species
UACAGAGGUCUCAAGCGUUGUUCGGAUUCAUUGGGCGUAAAGGGUGCGUAGGCGGCGCGGUAAGUCGGGUGUGAAAUCUCGGGGCUUAACUCCGAAACUGCAUUCGAUACUGCCGUGCUUGAGGACUGGAGAGGAGACUGGAAUUCAUGGUGUAGCAGUGAAAUGCGUAGAUAUCUGGAGGAACACCCGUGGCGAAGGCGGCGACCUGGACAGUGACUGACACUCAACUGCGAAAGCGUGGGGAGCAAACGGG